rnacentral:rRNA from 1 species
UACAGAGGGUGCAAGCGUUAUCCGGAAUGAUUGGGCGUAAAGCGUCUGUAGGUGGCUUUUUAAGUCUGCCGUCAAAUCCCAGGGCUUAACCCUGGACAGGCGGUGGAAACUACCAAGCUGGAGUACGGUAGGGGCAGAGGGAAUUCCUGGUGUAGCGGUGAAAUGCGUAGAGAUCAGGAAGAACACCGGUGGCGAAAGCGCUCUGCUAGGCCGCAACUGACACUCAUGGACGAAAGCUAGGGGAGCGAAUGGG